UACGAAGGGGGCUAGCGUUGCUCGGAAUUACUGGGCGUAAAGGGCGCGUAGGCGGAUCUUUAAGUUGGGGGUGAAAGCCCAGGGCUCAACCCUGGAAUUGCCUUCGAUACUGGAGAUCUUGAGACCGGAAGAGGUAAGUGGAACUGCGAGUGUAGAGGUGAAAUUCGUAGAUAUUCGCAAGAACACCAGUGGCGAAGGCGGCUUACUGGUCCGGUUCUGACGCUGAGGCGCGAAAGCGUGGGGAGCAAACAGG
rnacentral:rRNA from 1 species